AGUUGGGUGGAGAUGUACUUUUUGGUAAGAGUGUUAAAUUAAUGGUUAGAUGCCUUUGCAUCCGCUUUAUUAAAAAGAUUCCUCCUCCUGCAAAAAAAAGUGUUUUUGUAAGACGAAAACAGGAGACGCAGUCGCGACUUAGCUGUUAAUUGAAUAAGUUAAGGUUGCUAGACACGAAGGUGGUAUACCACUUUAGCGCGCCCCAUACUAGCCUUGAGCACUCAGUGUGCCUA
rnacentral:ncRNA from 1 species